rnacentral:lncRNA from 1 species
ACUUGCCUUUUGCUCUUUAAGUUUACUACAGUAUAUGAAUACGUAGUCAACUUUUCAGAUGGUGUUUUAUAAACAACUAUAGUAUAUGAAUACUAAGUUAUAUUAUAAACACAAGUUAUAUUAUAGAGUAAAUGACCAGAUAACUGGAUAUAUGAUAAGCAAGUAAAUGACCAGAUAACUGGAUAUAUUGAUAAACAAGUAGAUGACCAGAUAACUAGAUAUAUAUAUGAUAAGUAAAUGCUUGAACAAAUAUGAAUAAAGC